CGGGGUGCAGCAGGCGCGAAAACUCCACAAUGUACGACAGUACGAUGGGGUUAUCUCGAGUGCAGUCCGAUAAGGGCUGCUUUUCCAUAGAGUAAUAUCCUGUGGGAAUAAGAGGGGGGCAAGACUGGUGUCAGCCGCCGCGGUAACACCAGCCCCUCGAGUGGUGGGGACUAUUAUUUGGUCUAAAGCGUCCGUAGCUGGCUGUAUCCGUCCCCCGUUAAAUCCAGCGUCCUAAGCGUUGGACCGCGGGUGAUACCAUACAACUAGAGGGUGGGAUAGGUGAGCGGUAUUUCUGGGGUAGGGGCGAAAUCCUUUGAUCCCAGGAGGACCACCAGUGGCGAAGGCUGCUCACUAGAACACGCCUGACGGUCAGGGACGAAAGCUGGGGCAGCGAACCGGAUUAGAUACCCGGGUAAUCCCAGCUGUAAACGAUGCCAGCUAGGUGUUGGGUCGGCCACGCGCCGCCCCAGUGCCGCAGGGAAGCCGUUAAGCUGGCCACCUGGGGAGUACGGCCGCAAGGCUGAAACUUAAAGGAAUUGGCGGGGGAGCACAAGGGCGAUUCGCG
rnacentral:rRNA from 1 species